GAGGCACCGGCAGCCCACACUCUGCAGACAGGGCCAGCACGCUGGGAACCAGAUCCUGAGCAGAACACUGAGAACCCCAGGCUGUGGAAACCUCUGGCUUUCCUAACAGUGGGCUGUGUUUGCUUAGGACCAAAUCCCAACAAACUGGGAGGGAGCGGGCCACACACGGGGCGGCAGGGGCCAGUCCUGCUGAGUCACACGGCCCCACACCCCCAGCUGUUUGCUCUCGCCUUCCCCUUUGGGAUUAGCCGCGCUAGAACCUGCUUGCCUUGUUUCAGCUCCACGCGCACAAUGGACAGCUCUGCGCUCCUGAGUCACCUGAGAGGCAAGGACUACAUACAGGAAGCCCUCAGGACAGCCUGCGUGGCAGCGGUGGCAACAAGAGGAUCCGGGGCCUGGGGAGACUUACCGAUGCACCCAUGAUGAUGAAUAUGUGAG